UACGAAGGGGGCUAGCGUUGCUCGGAAUCACUGGGCGUAAAGCGCACGUAGGCGGAUUGUUAAGUCAGGGGUGAAACUCUGGAGCUCAACUCCAGAACUGCCUUUGAUACUGGCGAUCUCGAGUCCGGGAGAGGUGAGUGGAACUGCGAGUGUAGAGGUGAAAUUCGUAGAUAUUCGCAAGAACACCAGUGGCGAAGGCGGCUCACUGGCCCGGUACUGACGCUGAGGUGCGAAAGCGUGGGGAGCAAACAGGG
rnacentral:rRNA from 1 species